UGUGUUGCGUCUCUCCGAACCCCCUCGAUCGUUCGAACUUUUUCGAUAAUGAGCUUCUGCAUUCAUCUACCAGGCCGCCUCAAAAGCUCUCUUGGCCUCACUGCUAGUCGACCUUCUACAGUAAUCAACUAUUCUCCGAAUCCCUUUCGGAUCCCAACCGAGCUCCCACGAGAGCCUAACUUCUACUACGAGCAGUCUACUCCGAAUUCCUACAGCGGGUUGUAUACCCCAGAUAUCUACUGUAAGCAAAUUCUAUUCGAGCCUCUGCUGUAAACAAAUUUCUUCCGAACUUCUAUUACAGGUAGACUUCAGUCGAACUUCUUCGUAGUCGGAUCCCAGACGAUCUUCUACCAUGGGGCAGGAUCCACCGGCCAGGUUGUUACUCCGAGCUCCCACGACAAUCGAUCUUCGGCCGAGCUCCUAUAAUAAGCGGCCUCCUUUUGGCCUCCUUCAAGAAUCGGGCUCCGUCCGAACUUCCACAGCGGAUGGAUUCUGGAUGAGCUUCUGCAAAGACCAGACUCCGUCCGAACUUCUACAGUGAAUGGAUUCCAGACGAGCUUCUGCAAGGACUGGACUCCGUCC
rnacentral:lncRNA from 1 species